UGGGGAAUAUUGCACAAUGGAGGGAACUCUGAUGCAGCGACGCCGCGUGAACGAAGAAGGCUUUCGAGUCGUAAAGUUCUUUUAUAUGGGAAGAUAAUGACGGUACCAUAAGAAAAAGCCCCGGCUAACUACGUGCCAGCAGCCGCGGUAAUACGUAGGGGGCUAGCGUUGUCCGGAAUCACUGGGCGUAAAGCGAGCGCAGGCGGUCAAUUAAGUCUGAUGUGAAAGCCCCCGGCUCAACCGGGGAGGGUCAUUGGAAACUGGUUGACUUGAGUGCAGAAGAGGAGAGUGGAAUUCCAUGUGUAGCGGUGAAAUGCGUAGAUAUAUGGAGGAACACCAGUGGCGAAGGCGACUCUCUGGUCUGUAACUGACGCUGAGGCUCGAAAGCGUGGGUAGCAAACAGG
rnacentral:rRNA from 1 species